rnacentral:rRNA from 1 species
AUGAACGCUAGCUACAGGCUUAACACAUGCAAGUCGAGGGGCAUCAGGAAGAAAGCUUGCUUUCUUUGCUGGCGACCGGCGCACGGGUGAGUAACACGUAUCCAACCUGCCCUUUACUCGGGGAUAGCCUUUCGAAAGAAAGAUUAAUACCCGAUGGCAUAAUGAUUCCGCAUGGUUUCAUUAUUAAAGGAUUCCGGUAAAGGAUGGGGAUGCGUUCCAUUAGGUUGUUGGUGAGGUAACGGCUCACCAAGCCUUCGAUGGAUAGGGGUUCUGAGAGGAAGGUCCCCCACAUUGGAACUGAGACACGGUCCAAACUCCUACGGGAGGCAGCAGUGAGGAAUAUUGGUCAAUGGGCGCUAGCCUGAACCAGCCAAGUAGCGUGAAGGAUGAAGGCUCUAUGGGUCGUAAACUUCUUUUAUAUAAGAAUAAAGUGCAGUAUGUAUACUGUUUUGUAUGUAUUAUAUGAAUAAGGAUCGGCUAACUCCGUGCCAGCAGCCGCGGUAAUACGGAGGAUCCGAGCGUUAUCCGGAUUUAUUGGGUUUAAAGGGAGCGUAGGUGGACUGGUAAGUCAGUUGUGAAAGUUUGCGGCUCAACCGUAAAAUUGCAGUUGAUACUGUCAGUCUUGAGUACAGUAGAGGUGGGCGGAAUUCGUGGUGUAGCGGUGAAAUGCUUAGAUAUCACGAAGAACUCCGAUUGCGAAGGCAGCUCACUGGACUGCAACUGACACUGAUGCUCGAAAGUGUGGGUAUCAAACAGGAUUAGAUACCCUGGUAGUCCACACAGUAAACGAUGAAUACUCGCUGUUUGCGAUAUACAGUAAGCGGCCAAGCGAAAGCAUUAAGUAUUCCACCUGGGGAGUACGCCGGCAACGGUGAAACUCAAAGGAAUUGACGGGGGCCCGCACAAGCGGAGGAACAUGUGGUUUAAUUCGAUGAUACGCGAGGAACCUUACCCGGGCUUAAAUUGCAGUGGAAUGAUGUGGAAACAUGUCAGUGAGCAAUCACCGCUGUGAAGGUGCUGCAUGGUUGUCGUCAGCUCGUGCCGUGAGGUGUCGGCUUAAGUGCCAUAACGAGCGCAACCCUUAUCUUUAGUUACUAACAGGUCAUGCUGAGGACUCUAGAGAGACUGCCGUCGUAAGAUGUGAGGAAGGUGGGGAUGACGUCAAAUCAGCACGGCCCUUACGUCCGGGGCUACACACGUGUUACAAUGGGGGGUACAGAAGGCAGCUAGCGGGUGACCGUAUGCUAAUCCCAAAAUCCUCUCUCAGUUCGGAUCGAAGUCUGCAACCCGACUUCGUGAAGCUGGAUUCGCUAGUAAUCGCGCAUCAGCCACGGCGCGGUGAAUACGUUCCCGGGCCUUGUACACACCGCCCGUCAAGCCAUGGGAGCCGGGGGUACCUGAAGUACGUAACCGCAAGGAUCGUCCUAGGGUAAAACUGGUGACUGGGGCU